UAGCUGCUUUCUUCUCUGUCUGCUCUAACCACUUGUCUCUCCCCUUCUACUGGGUAAGCGCCACUGGCCACUAUGGGGCUCCCUGCGUUGUGUACUUUACUAUGAAAUCCACACCAAUGUGCCAGAAAGCCUUCUCUUGCCCUUCUGGGUAGGCAUGAGCAGGCAUGGGUAGGCAUGGGCAGGCAUGGGCAGGCAUGGGUAGGCCAAAGGCUCACACCAGUGUCCUCCUCAAUCAUCUUCUACUUUAUGCUUUUAUCAAAGCCCAGCUUGCUGAGAUCAAUGAGUUUGUGGUAUUUGUUUACACAGCAGAGGUGAGAGACCAUUUACAGGAAAUGUAGCUGUGACACCACAAGGUCCCACCCCAUUGUAUGGCAAGCCCACGGACACCCCAUCACGGAGUACCACUUCCUACUUGGCUUCCCCUUCCUGUGCAGUCUAGCAUCUCCGGAGAUCCUUCGCAGCUGGGGCUCAUGCAGACAGCUGGGAUCUCAGGUGCAGAUCUUGUGACCCCUCUUCCCUCGUUCUGGAAGGUCCACAGCUCCACUGUUAUCCCAGGCCUGGUGACUACCGUGGUCCUUCUCUGCUUAGCAAACCCAUGCCUGUUCUAAGAUGGCAUUGUGUUACGUGCAGAAGGGGAAUUGC
rnacentral:lncRNA from 1 species